rnacentral:rRNA from 1 species
AUUGAACGCUGGCGGCAGGCCUAACACAUGCAAGUCGAGCGAGCGGCGGACGGGUGAGUAAUGUCUGGGAAACCGCCCGCUGGAGGGGGAUAACUACUGGAAACGGUAGCUAAAACCGCAUACAACAUGAUGUGCCCAGAUGGGAUUGUCGUGUAGGUGGGGUAACGGCUCACCUAGGCGCCGAUCCCUAGCUGGUUUGAGAGGAUGACCAGCCACACUGGAACUGAGACACGGUCCAGACUCCUAGGGGAGGCAGCAGUGGGGAAGAUGGCACAAUGGGCGCAAGCCGGAUGCAGCAAUGCCGCGUGUGUGAAGAGGGCCUUCGGGUUGUAAAGCACUUUCAGCGGGGAGGCGGUACCCGCAGAAGAAGCACCGGCUAACUCCGUGCCAGCAGCCGCGGUAAUAC